rnacentral:lncRNA from 1 species
CAGGUUAAAAUUGGCAUUUUAUACUCUUUAUUAAAAGCACUGAUUACAGUUAUAUUUUCAAAAUAGAUAUUUUACAAAUAUUAAUGAUUGAUACUAGUAAUGCCCUCUCUGUAAUAGCCUCCCAAGUAACCCAUAGUUCUGUUCUCUAGCCAUUUCAAAUUACAGUAUUCUUUUUUUUAAGGACACAUUUAGUUUUGUACAUUUCAGCUUCAUAUUGUACUGGUUGUUAAUGAAAUUUUAUUUAUACUCUUAUAAAACCCGGUUCUGGACUAAAGAAAUAUUUUAGAAUUUAAAUUAUAUCCCAUAUUGAUUAUUUAAUUAUUUUAUAACGAAUAAUGAUUAAUUGGGCAUGUACAAUUAUUGUGUAUGUUGUACUGUUCAUAGUACAAUAUCUGAUUUUGGCUUGACCAUACCAGAUAUGCUGGUUGAUUUUACUCGGACUGACCUAUCUAAUUUUUGUCUCUUUUUAUCUAAUGUAAAUAUUAGUUUUCUUGGAAGAUAGCAAGAAGUUGCUGGUCUAGGCAAAAUCGAAAUUGAUUGUCAUAGUGACACAUAUUUUCAUUGCCAACUUCCUUGGGCCACAAAUUUUGUUAUUUAUUUUUUAUAAAAGGUUUUAUGGUACUUAUAAAAAAAGUUAAGUUAUUUUGUUAUAUAUUUCGAUUGGCAAUACACUUUGUGCGUGAUUGCUUAAAUACGGGUUUGACCUCUGCGGUCGUUCCUUUUCCCAGACCGCCGUCAUGAAGUGAAGAGUGCUUUAGUUCUUUUUGAAAUUCGUGUGAAUUUUACCCAUAUGGGGAUAUAAUUGACUAAAUGUGGUGAUAGUAAAUCAACUUUUUGGGCGUAAUGCUAUAAUUUGUUGUUUUGUUGAAUUUACUGGCCUUUAUGGCGAUUUAAAACCUAAUAAUUUUUCACGUGCCCUCGAACAUCGGCAAAAUAGCGGUUCUGAUUGGCAUUGGCAGGGGACAAUUUAAUUAGCAAAGCUACAUAACAUGGAUUUUGGACGGAUUUUUUUUUGUACGGACCUGAUUUCUUCAUGUCACAUGGUGCUUUCGUUUUGGGGUUAUGUACUCUACUGGCUCUAAUCUAGAAGGAGAUUUUAAGCAACUGUGAGCUAACGUCUAACCUAGACCACUACCAGAGCUUGGCGUAUUGUGAAGUGGAAGAGGUGAAGCUUGGAAGCCUGCAGUUUUUCUUUGACUGGGAUUUGGAUGUCUGGGAGAGUCUCGAAUCUGAAGUAGUCUGCUGUGUGUGGAGCUAGGUGACACAACAUAACAUUUUUUUUAUUCACUUAUUUUAUUUUUAUUAUCACAACUUUUAUCUUUUGAGUUGAGAUACAUACAUAAGCCUAUUUAAAAUUUUAUUGACAUUAUUUAACCGAUGCUAUUUUAUUAUUGAAUAUUACUGAUAUGAGUACAUAUAUAUGUGACAAGUGACUCCUGUGAGGUAAGACGCAGCCGGCUUCGUAGUACUACGAGUAUAUACUUGGGUUAUAUUAUUUAUUUUCAGAUUACUCCUAAGAUGUCAAAUUUUCUCAGAUUAGCUAGUAAAUAUUAGAGUAAACUAAUAUAAAGGGUAAUUUUAAGUGGGGAAGCUUCAACAGUUGUCAGUUUUUUUUUGCUUAGGUCAAUGUCCGUGGCGGGAUAUACCGGGCCAUGUAAGUUAUUAGUUUAAUUGAAUUGAAGCUUCAUUCCCCAAAAGGUUUGGGUGUAACAUAAUUUAUUUUAUUUUGACAACCACACUUUGAUUGUGUAUUUUUUGUGUGAUGUUGUGGUUCCUUAUUACCAACUUAAAUAAUUAUUCCUCUUAACGAUAAAUAACAUAACAUAAUUCUCUGUGAUAAUCAAGACUUAAAUAAAUUGUUAUUUUCUGUUGUUAA